rnacentral:rRNA from 1 species
AUUGAACGCUGGCGGCAUGCUUUACACAUGCAAGUCGAACGGCAACACGGGGGCAACCCUGGUGGCGAGUGGCGAACGGGUGAGUAAUACAUAGGAACGUAUCCUGAAAUGGGGGAUAGCUCGGCGAAAGCCGGAUUAAUACCGCAUACGAUCUACGGAUGAAAGCAGGGGAUUCGCAAGAACCUUGCGUUUCUGGAGCGGCCUAUGUCUGAUUAGCUAGUUGGCGGGGAAAAGCCCACCAAGGCGACGAUCAGUAGCUGGUCUGAGAGGAUGAUCAGCCACACUGGGACUGAGACACGGCCCAGACUCCUACGGGAGGCAGCAGUGGGAAUUUUGGACAAUGGGGGCAACCCUGAUCCAGCCAUGCCGCGUGAGUGAAGAAGGCCUGG